rnacentral:rRNA from 1 species
GACGAACGCUGGCGGCGUGCUUAACACAUGCAAGUCGAACGGAGAGGCCCUGCUUUUGUGGGGUGCUCGAGUGGCGAACGGGUGAGUAACACGUGAGUAACCUGCCCUUGACUUUGGGAUAACUUCAGGAAACUGGGGCUAAUACCGGAUAGGAUCUCCUGCUGCAUGGUGGGGGUUGGAAAGUUUCGGCGGUUGGGGAUGGACUCGCGGCUUAUCAGCUUGUUGGUGGGGUAGUGGCUUACCAAGGCUUUGACGGGUAGCCGGCCUGGGAGGGUGACCGGCCACAUUGGGCCUGCGAUACGGCCCAGACUCCUACGGGAGGCAGCAGUGGGGAAUAUUGCACAAUGGGAGGAAGCCUGAUGCAGAAACGCCGCGUGCGGGAUGACGGCCUUCGGGUUGUAAACCGCUUUCGCCUGUGACGAAGCGUGAGUGACGGUAAUGGGUAAAGAAGCACCGGCUAACUACGUG